CACUGUCACUCCUACGGGAGGCAGCAGUGGGGAAUAUUGCACAAUGGGGGAAACCCUGAUGCAGCCAUGCCGCGUGUGUGAAGAAGGCCUUCGGGUUGUAAAGCACUUUCAGCAGUGAGGAAGGCGGAGUCGUUAAUAGCGGCCUCGUUUGACGUUAGCUGCAGAAGAAGCACCGGCUAACUCCGUGCCAGCAGCCGCGGUAAUACGGAGGGUGCGAGCGUUAAUCGGAAUUACUGGGCGUAAAGCGCAUGCAGGUGGUUUGUUAAGUCAGAUGUGAAAGCCCGGGGCUCAACCUCGGAAUAGCAUUUGAAACUGGCAGACUAGAGUACUGUAGAGGGGGUAGAAUUUCAGGUGUAGCGGUGAAAUGCGUAGAGAUCUGAAGGAAUACCGGUGGCGAAGGCGGCCCCCUGGACAGAUACUGACACUCAGAUGCGAAAGCGUGGGGAGCAAACAGGAUUAGAUACCCUGGUAG
rnacentral:rRNA from 1 species